UAUAAUAUAGGAGUGCAAGUAGAUACAGAUAGACAAGGAAGGAACUAGGGUUGCUAGAGAAAGGGAGGGGAUUGGAAGGGAAUGCAGCCUGCCUUUUGCUCCACCCGACUCGAUUAUUCGUCUCGACGAUUCAUGGCCGCUGCGGCAGGAACUGCGCUCCUUCGAUCUGUGGCCACCAAGAUGAGUGGGGUGAUCGGUGGCCGCCGGUCUGGCCCAAUUGGCUCCCGCCACUCUUUUACUUCUUCCUCUCGCCCUAGCGCCGUCGACAACAUGGUAUGCUUUGGGUGUUGCUAAUUUUCAUUUUUUAUAUAAAUUAGUUGCCUUUUUUGAAUAUAUACACGACGCAUAAAGGAACAAUCUUUCUAACAAAAAACAUACUUUUGUUUUACGAUAUUAUAAAUUUUUUUGCUGUAUCAGUACUGUAUAUUUAUUCUAACGGGAAAUGAAAGAAAACAGAAAUCAUAGAUAUAUUUUACAUCUCCGUAUGUAUUCAAUAAUUAUAGGUUGUUUCAUGUCUUAUUAUAUUUUCUUCUUCUGCUGCUGCUGCUUCAUUCAGGACCCCUCUCAGAAUAAGAAUGUUCCGGAUCAAUUGCACAGGUAUGGACCCCUGCUCUUUCCUUCGAGGAUAUGCAAUUGUAUGAGGAAGCACGAACUUGUGUCCCACUAACUCGGCGCCGCUGCCCACAUGUCCUUAAUACAAAACCACCAACUAGUUCCUCCUAUGAAGCCAUAAUUUAUCAUGAUUUCUUUCUAGUUUUGGAGCUCCAAAUGUAUUCAUCAUAAUUGACAAUUUGUUGGUUGCAUUUGUGAUUUUCAGUGCAAAGUCUGCACCCAUGCCAACUGCAACCAAAUUUCUUUGCUUGUCCGUGCUUGUCACGUCAGCUUUUUUUUUUUCGGUUGGAUGAAACCGAGAUUGGAAGCAUUGAGCGACGAAAUGGCUGCUCUUCGUAGAGAGAGGUCAAUCCUUAUCAAAGCUGUGGAGGAGUGCCAAAGGACACACAUUAAAGCCCGAGAUGAUUCAUUCGAUCCUUCUCAAGCUCAAAUCACGCAAUCUUUAGGACAAGGUAAGGAGAGUGGUGGACGCGCUUAUUAAAUGAUCCUUGGAGCAAUGCAAGAAUUGACCUGAGAGGCAGGCUUACCUUUUUUAAAGAAGACUAGACAAUGUCACCUUGGUUAAGCUUUCCAUAAAAGGAGGUCCAGAUCCUUUGGUCUAAAACAAAAAUGUCACAUGGGUUAUGAUA